GACGAACGCUGGCGGCGUGCUUAACACAUGCAAGUCGAACGGAAAGGCCCUGCUUUUGUGGGGUGCUCGAGUGGCGAACGGGUGAGUAACACGUGAGUAACCUGCCCUUGACUUUGGGAUAACUUCAGGAAACUGGGGCUAAUACCGGAUAGGAGCUCCUGCUGCAUGGUGGGGGUUGGAAAGUUUCGGCGGUUGGGGAUGGACUCGCGGCUUAUCAGCUUGUUGGUGGGGUAGUGGCUUACCAAGGCUUUGACGGGUAGCCGGCCUGAGAGGGUGACCGGCCAAAUUGGGACUGAGAUACGGCCCAGACUCCUACGGGAGGCAGCAGUGGGGAAUAUUGCACAAUGGGCGGAAGCCGGAUGCAGCAACGCCGCGUGCGGGAUGACGGCCUUCGGUUUGUAAACCGCUUUCGCCUGUGACGAAGCGUGAGUGACGGUAAUGGGUAAAGAAGCACCGGCUAACUACGUG
rnacentral:rRNA from 1 species